CUACUAUGGAGAGUUUGAUCCUGGCUCAGGACGAACGCUGGCGGCGUGCCUAAUACAUGCAAGUCGAGCGGA
rnacentral:rRNA from 1 species